GUCAAAUGUCAACCUCACAUGCUUCCUAGAAUAUCCAAGCUUGGAUGUGACGGAACUGCGAUGGUUGCACAACAAAUCCCUAGUCGAGGACCAGGAGGAAGAUAUUUACGAAGACGCCGUUGCGACGACGAUGCAAAUCACAAACAUGACGAUGAAGGAUAAUGGUCGGAGUUUCUCGUGUCGUUACGGGUUUUUAAGAGAACGUCACGUUUUCCUGCUUGUCAUCACUGCAGGAAGCUCUGAUGACACUCACAGCAGAGCCAGCAUGCCCGUGAUCAUGUUGUUCGCCUUCAUCCUCGUCCUGCCCAUCAUCGUCAUGUUCAUGCGAGCCAGAGAAGGAGCCGUCACUAUUUA
rnacentral:lncRNA from 1 species